AAUUUGAAACCCUCGGGAUUGUAAUUUGAAGAUUUGGCAUUGGAGAAAGCUAACCCAAGUUGCUUGGAAUAGUACGUCAUAGAGGGUGACAACCCCGUCUGGCUAACCGUUCUCCAUGUAUUGCCUUAUCAAAGAGUCGAGUUGUUUGGGAAUGCAGCUCAAAGUGGGUGGUAAACUCCAUCUAAAGCUAAAUACUGGUGAGAGACCGAUAGCGAACAAGUACUGUGAAGGAAAGGUGAAAAGAACUUUGAAAAGAGAGUGAAAUAGUAUGUGAAAUUGUUGAUAGGGAAGGAAAUGAGUGGAGAGUGGCCGAGGUUUCAGCCGCCCCUCGUGGGCGGUGUACUGCCGACGCCGAGUCAUCGAUAGCGAGACGAGGGUUACAAAUGGGAGCGCCUUCGGGCGUUCUCCCCUAACCCUCCACACUGCCACCGACGACAUAAUCCACCCAUUUCACCCGUCU
rnacentral:rRNA from 1 species